UACAGAGGUCUCAAGCGUUGUUCGGAUUCAUUGGGCGUAAAGGGUGCGUAGGUGGCGCCGUAAGUCGGGUGUGAAAUUUCGGAGCUUAACUCCGAAACUGCAUUCGAUACUGCGGUGCUUGAGGACUGGAGAGGAGACUGGAAUUCGAUGGUGUAGCAGUGAAAUGCGUAGAGAUCAUGAGGAAGACCAGUGGCGAAGGCGGGUCUCUGGACAGUUCCUGACACUGAGGCACGAAGGCCAGGGGAGCAAACGGG
rnacentral:rRNA from 1 species